GACGAACGCUGGCGGCGUGCUUAACACAUGCAAGUCGAACGGAAAGGCCCUGCUUGCAGGGUACUCGAGUGGCGAACGGGUGAGUAACACGUGGGUGAUCUGCCCUGCACUUCGGGAUAAGCCUGGGAAACUGGGUCUAAUACCGGAUAGGAGCCAUUUUUAGUGUGAUGGUUGGAAAGUUUUUUCGGUGUAGGAUGAGCUCGCGGCCUAUCAGCUUGUUGGUGGGGUAAUGGCCUACCAAGGCGGCGACGGGUAGCCGGCCUGAGAGGGUGGACGGCCACAGUGGGACUGAGAUACGGCCCAGACUCCUACGGGAGGCAGCAGUGGGGAAGAGUGCACAAUGGGCGCAAGCCUGAUGCAGCGACGCCGCGGGGGGGAGGACGGCCUUCGGGUUGUAAACUCAGUUCGCUAGGGACGAAGCUUUUUGUGACGGUACCUAGAUAAGAAGCACCGGCUAACUACGUG
rnacentral:rRNA from 1 species